AACCACAGAUGGCUCACAGUUGUUUUGAAGAGAAGUACUUAUGAGACGAGCAACAAUUCUCCAGAGACUGAGAUUAGACAGCACAAUAGAUCGCCAUGUGUUGACAUUCAGCUUUCUGCUAAUUAGUGUCACAGUGUCCAAGGGAGAAAUUGUGCUCACCCAGUCUCUAGCAUCCAUGGCUGCAUCUCAAGAGGAGAAGGUCACCAUGACCUGCAGGGCCAGUUCAAGUAUAGUCUCCAGUCACUUGCACUGGUAUCAGCAGAAAUCUGGAGGCUCCCCUACACUCCUAGUUUAUGGCACAUCCAAACUGGCUUCUGGAGUCCCAGCUGGCUUCUGUGGCAGUGGGUCUGGGACCUCUUACUCUCUUGCAAUCAGCAACUUUGAAGCUGAAGAUGCGGCCACUUAUUUCUCUCAACAGAGGCAUAGUAGCCCACCCACACAGUGACAGAGUCUUGAACAAAAACUCUUUGCCUACCUGGAGCACAGAUAAUUCCUCCUAGAGAUGAAACAGGGCCUUAUGUUUCAUUGUAGUAAUCCAUAAAAUAAACGGUAAUUUACAGAUUACUUACUAGGCCAUUUGCAGCUUUUGGUAAAUUAGUGUCUCCAUAAUAUCCCACUGUACUUCACUGUUGCUCUUGUUUGGCCACCAUUGUUUAUUCUCUAUUUUGGUUCUAUUUUUGUUUCUUUGAUUUGUUGAUGGGAAAUGUAGCAGGCAUUUCUCUUCAGCUGUUUUACAGGACAUCUCAUAGCAGUCUUCACACUUGGUUUAUUCUAAUUACACUGAUUGCAGGAUCUUAUCUGGCAGGUUGUUCUCCUUCAAGAUAGUCAGCUCCUAAAAGUAAACUGCCUCUGUUAUCCUUCUAAAAAUAGUAUCUAUCCUCUUCUGACUUCUGAUUUUCAUUAGCUUCUGUCCCACUUAUGGUAUCCUGUUGAUUUAUGCUUGAAAUGAUUGUUUCUCCAAAAAUUGAUUUAUGACUGACACUUCAGGCAAAAAUAUGAAUAAAAAACUUGGUUCCUUGUUUUUGCUUCUCAUUAAGAUGCCAAUGAAUUCUCAGGGCUUUUCCUCCUGUUACCCAUAUGUCUCAAAGAUCUGUCUUUGAGGAAGAUUGGAAUUUAAAAUACAAGUACUUCAUUUGAAAUCAUUGUAUGUAAAUAUUUUGUGAUAAAUAAAUUCU